rnacentral:lncRNA from 1 species
UUCUUUACAGAUUUGAUGGAUGUUUUCCAAAAUUAAGAUAUUUUACACUGCAGUUAAAGGAAUAGGAAAUUGAAAUACAUGUUCUUUAUGACUGUAUCUUGAGUGUAAAAAUUUUUCAGUUUGAAACUUGGACCUAAAGUGUUGCAAAUGGAAGUGAUAAAUCCCAAUGGACUGAGUGAAUGCAACUUUUCCUAUGGGAUGUGCAACACUCCAAGGACUUCCUCACUGGGGCUGUGGGUGCUUGGAGCUUUGUCCUGUGCCACUCUGGGAUGUCAUGAAAUGGGACUUCACCUGCCACCAGCCCAGGUCACGCUGUGCCACCCCAGCUCCUUGGACCUUGUGUCCCCAAAAAAGAUACAAGGUGUUUCUGCUGCUCCACCUUUGCACAGAGCCACAGAGAGCUGGAAUUAUCCCAUUUCUCAUGUCUCCAUUGUGCCAUAUUCCUAAAGAACCAGCAGCCCAUCCCGACGAAUAUGCUCUUGGACACCUACUCACACAGAGCUGGGAAAAAAAAUCCCCUGGCCAUACUCACACAGAGCUGGGAAAAAAAAUCCCCUGGCCAUGGCUUACAAGGUGAGUUAUGCCAAACUUAGAGCUCUGUGGGAAAUCUCUAUCCAUCCCUAUCCCUUUAAUAUAUCUAUAAGUGGGGGCGUGCAUGGAUGUGUUUUGUAUGGAAAGGAAGGAGUGUGCAAACAACGUGACUGACACAUUCACUGUGUUCAUUCCAUACUCAUGGGUACAAAAAUAUUAUGGAAACCUUUGCGAAGACAGACCUGUCCAUGGAUACAGAGACAUCCAAGAGCCCCUGUGUUGGGGGUUAGGUGUCCUUUUUUUGUUCUGGCUUGCCUGUGGAAUUUUUACCCAUUAGUUGCGGGGACAACCUAACUGUGGGUGCUCGACAAAGGACAAAGAGUGGCCGGGCCCAGGGGUGGUGAAGGGGACAGGAAAGGAGGGUGGGGGACAGUUUUUGGCUGGCUUUCUUUGGCUUCAGGGAAAGACAUUCGUUUUCUGGGUCGCGGAGCUUCUACGGGAGAGAGAAGGGAAUUUUGCCAUCACCCAGACGAAGCUGCUGCUUCUUCUCCUUCUUCCCUCUUCGUUGGUUGGCCUCACAUCCCCUGUCCUGCCGGGACGUGUGGCAGUGCCAGGCACCGCCGCGGAGCUGCUGAUACACCUCAGCCACCGGCCCAGGAUCUCAGCUCAUCCCUGCUGUUCCAGCCGACUGUUCCCCGGAGCCCUGCAGGAGCACCAGACUGACUGCCCGAGGGGUUUGUGAAAACAAAGCCUCUCCUCCAUCCUGUCUCAGCCGAGAAAGCUGUCCCGGGGUCCCUGGUUCUGUGUUCUUGUUAUUGCUGUAGUUAUUGUUUGUUUGUUUGCCUGGUUAUACUAGUAAAGAACUGUUAUUCCUAUCUCCAGAUCUCUGCCUGAAAGCCCCUUGAUUUCAAAAUUAUAAUAAUUCAGAGGGAGGGGAGUCUACAUUCUUUCAUCCCAAGGGAAGCUCCUGCUCUCCCUAGCAGACACCUGUCUUCUAGAACCAAGACACCCUGGCACAGACAGACCCUUCUGUCCAUGGAUACAGAGAUAUCCAAGAGUCCCUGGCACAGACAGAUCCUUCUGUCCAUAGAUACAGAGACAUCCAAGAGCCCCUGGCACAGACAGACAUUGCUGCUCUUCAGCCAGUGACAGGACGUGUCCCUAAGACUGGGGCUUAGUCUUCCUCAUGGUGAGCGGCAUCAAGGAAGGCUGCAGUGUGAUGGAGACUGUGAUGGGCUGGGAACUCACUGGGGGAAAAAAAGGGAGCAGUUGUGUAUGGAUGCUAAAUCUAAACCACAGUGCCUGUACAAAUUACAGGCCGCCUGGCUCCUCGGGCUGACGGAGAAAAUAGCCUGGGAAAAAUAAGAGAAGGAAUUAAAACAAUUCUCAGGGACACUAAACAGCCUUGCAGGUGUUGUUUUGCAGUUUUGUUUUCUCUUGCAGGAGAAGGCCAGGGGGGUGAUGGGCCCCCCUGACCAAUGAUGGUGAUGUAGCACUUUGUUAACCAGUAGGAGUUUCUUUUCUGUACCUUCCACGUACCAGUCUAUAAAAAGCAGGCCUGAGGUAAUAAACCAGAGAAUUCUCAUGUUGUGACCCCCCUU